rnacentral:misc_RNA from 1 species
CACGAGGCCCACCGUACGAGGCAGCCAUGUCGCUGAAAAGGGUAGCGCAAUGUUUUGGCGAUGUUGUGGAUAUGUCCGCAUAUGCUAAUCGUCAUGCUUUCAUCCAUCUUCCUCAGUGGGUUGUUGAAGAAAGGCGUGAAAGACGACAUCUUGAUGUUCUUGAACGUAAAGGGGUUGUAACCCCAUCGGAACCUUACAUAUGUUCUGUCUGUGGACGAAAAUGUAAGACCCAUAUGGAUUUAAAGAAGCAUUUUAAGCAGUUACAUGAAAGGGAAAGGGAAAAAAAACUUAGUCGUAUGAGGUCAUUAAAAGGCAAGAAAAGACAGAGAUUUAAAGAGAGGUUUGUUGAUGGUAAUUAUAAGUAUAUAGAGGCUGCUAAAAG